rnacentral:lncRNA from 1 species
GUUUCCUUCCUCAGGCCGAGUCCUCUCCCUAUCCUGCUGUCCUCCAGUGGCACGGGGGGGGGUCCGCCCUCACGGGGGCGUGUCCCGUGUCUCUUCCUUCCUUUCCUUCUGUGGUGAGCUCUCCCGGGUUAUAGGUCCGGGUUUCCCCGCUGUUUUGCAGAUGUCCCUCCAUUGGUGACUCACCAACUCUCAUGCCUUAGUGUCUCCCCUAAGACAUGUUGGACACAGGUGCCUCGCGAUGUCCCGAGAGGCAGGCCAGCCAUACACAGGCGACGCUCGGAACGCUCCUGCCCCACAGCUCGCACAUCAGGGCCCACUUCUUCUCGUCCUGGACAGGAGAUGAGCCGUUGAAAAUCAGCGCUGCAGCUCUGGGGGGCCACGGGUCUGGCGUGGCUCUUCUGCAGUGUCAUGGAUUCGGUGGUUUUACUGUCUUUGGACAGACAGGCUCGAGAGCAGGAGUGACCUCAGCUAUUAAUGCUGUUCAUUCGCCAUCUACUAUCUGUAGUGUAGGACCAUGCACAUGCUCAGGACUCUCUAGAGAAAACUGACAUCUAUGUAGCCAGUGGCUGUGGUUGGACACCAAGUGGGAUGACGUGCCAUCUCGGGGUUUCUGGAGCGUGAGCGCCUCCUGUUGGAAGUGCACUGUGACUUGCCCCAUGGCACCUUGUGGAGUGUGGGCCUCACUCACAUCUGAGGGCUGAGCCCGCCCUGGGUACCACCCACCCAGCCCUGGGUGUGGAGGGCACUCACUGACCCUGGGCCAGGCUCCCACCCCAGCCUGACCCGGGGGUGUUGGUGAGGUCUGAUGGUCCCUGCGCUGCCACUAGGGAGCGCUGCACGGACACAGCUAAGACCUGCCAUGGGGCUCUGUGAAGGUGGGGAGUCCCAGGCUGGAGUUGGAAGCUCUCUGAGGAGGUGAGAGAACUGCUGAAGAGCGAGGGGCCUAGGUAGAUAAAUUCUUUGAGAGAAACCACGGGGAUGGUAGCUGUCAUUACUGAGUUGCGCUGAGUGUGGCUGUCUGAUUACUGAGUGUGGCGGUCUGAUUCAGGAGCAUUAUCUCAUUUAACUUCCCAGUUACCCUAAGAAGGGCCUGUUGCCUGGAUAAACGUGAGCUGGAGGCUUAGGGUCCCGCAAGCUUCAGGUGGAGCCGCUGGGUUUUAAUCCAAGGCUGUGUGGGUCCAGAGGCUCUCCUACCUGAAUCUUCAGUCUUCCCCUUCCUGUUGUGGAGAGAAAGGACUGAGGUCAUCUCCAAAAGAGGACAAAAAUACCAGCAGUGGGGCUGCUGACUGACAGGUUCCCCAGGUCUCCUCGUCCUGGUGAUUUGAGCAAAGGUCUCCUUUGUAAGCUCUUCUCCAGAAACUGUGGUGCAGAAUGUGGGACGGUUUCUGUGAAAUUCCCUCCACCCAGAGAAAAGGUCUUUCCCAAGGAAAGAAGUUAAACCAAGGACCGAGUCCAUCUGCCUCUUGCUUGAUCUUCCCAUCAGACGGCCCGGCAGCACCCAAGGCACACGUGUAGGAAGCUCAGCUCAGGCUUGGGACGAGCCACUGGUGACAUCACGCCUACCUGAGGGCCAGUGCUUGGUGACAGAGGAAGGACCCUCCCUGGGGCUUGCUGGAGCUGGAUGACCGAUGGCCUGCACUGGGUGGGAGGAGAAGGAGGUGAUCCUGGGGUGAGUAUUAGAGAUGGAGGGAAAGUCAGUGUGAUGAGGGAGGCCAAUGGUGCUGGCCAGGUGCAGCCUCCGCAGCCUCUGUAAACAGACAGGGCAUCCUCUUAGGGAGGCCCUGCCUGUGGAACCAAGUGGACAGAAGUGCCCACCCUGUGAUGACGGGAAGCUGUUGAAGGAUGUGGACGUGACAGGGUUGGAUUUGCUUUUCAGGGGAAUGGACUGUGACUCUGAGAGAUCAACGGUUCCUGCUACUGCUUAGCCAGAGGCGCGAUGGGGAGGUGCGGGAGCCCGGGAGAGGGGAGGGCGGCACGGCACAGCGUCAGCUCUACUCCAUCGUCCCUCCACCUAGACCAAGGUGACUCGGUCAAAACCCAACGCAGGUCCUCAUGCAUGUUCUGUGGCACCCUGCACUUCGACUUCACUGGGUUUAUAAUAAUCCUGAACUCUAACCCAUUCUGUGGAGAUUUGUGUGGUCUCUGUCCUGCCGCGGACCUAGGCAGGGGCUUCGCUGCUUUCUACACAUGGGACACCCGUGCUCUGGAUCAGGGAGGUGGAAACAGCUGGGCAGGAGGGGCACAGCAUGAGAG